UACGAAGGGGGCUAGCGUUGUUCGGAAUUACUGGGCGUAAAGCGCACGUAGGCGGAUUGUUAAGUCGGGGGUGAAAUCCUGAGGCUCAACCUCAGAACUGCCUUCGAUACUGGCAAUCUCGAGUCCGGAAGAGGUUGGUGGAACAGCUAGUGUAGAGGUGAAAUUCGUAGAGAUCCGGAAGAACACCGGUGGCGAAGGCGGCCUGCUGGGCUAUGGCUGACACUGAGGCGCGACAGCGUGGGGAGCAAACAGG
rnacentral:rRNA from 1 species